AUGUACAUGUAUGUGCUGAAAAUUCAAUACGAGAAUCAUGAAGAAAGACGUCAAGUUUCUUCUAAUAUUUCUACCUCUCAUUUCAAUGUUGGGAUUAUUCAUGAAACCCGUGACAGGAGAACUAAAGCAAUGUAGAUUUUCUCCUAAAAGCCGAUGUAGUGACCCGAAUUUCCGUAACAUGUGCAAGAGAAAAUGCUCAUCAAGGAAAUGAACUCGAUUUUCUGACAAACGAUGACGACUUUGGAAUUAAUCAUUUUAGUUAUUAAAAACAAUGUAAUUAAAUGUGAAAAUAAAUAAAAUUCUAUGCAUU